AGAAUAUAAAAACCCGUCUCUUAACUUUUAAUACAAAAGCUAAGAACUGAUUUUUAAAUAAGAGUUUUAAGAGCCGGUUCUUAACUUUUUUAGUUAAAAAUUAAGAGAUGUGUUCUUAUAUUCC
rfam:Brassica oleracea var. oleracea cultivar TO1000 chromosome C3, whole genome shotgun sequence